GACGAACGCUGGCGGCGUGCCUAACACAUGCAAGUCGAACGGGGUAUUUCUUCGGAGGUACUUAGUGGCGAACGGGUGAGUAACGCGUGAGAACCCUGCCUUUCAGUGGGGGACAACAGUUGGAAACGACUGCUAAUACCACAUAAUGUUAUUUGGGGGCAUCCUCGAAUAACCAAAGGUUUAUUGCUGAAAGAUGGUCUCGCGUCUGAUUAGCUAGAUGGCGGGGUAACGGCCUACCAAGCCGACGAUCAGUAGCCGACCUGAGAGGGUGACCGGCCACAUUGGGACUGAGACACGGCUCAA
rnacentral:rRNA from 1 species